AUUGAACGCUGGCGGCAUGCCUUACACAUGCAAGUCGAACGGUAACGGGCCUUCGGGUGCCGACGAGUGGCGAACGGGUGAGUAAUGCAUCGGAACGUACCUUUCAGUGGGGGAUAACGUAGCGAAAGUUACGCUAAUACCGCAUAUUCUGUGCGCAGGAAAGCAGGGGAUCGCAAGACCUUGCGCUGAUUGAGCGGCCGAUGUCAGAUUAGCUAGUUGGUGAGGUAAAGGCUCACCAAGGCGACGAUCUGUAGCGGGUCUGAGAGGAUGAUCCGCCAAACUGGAACUGAGACACGGUCCAGACUCCUACGGAAGGCAGCAGUGGGGAAUUUUGGACAAUGGGGGCAACCCUGAUCCAGCCAUGCCGCGUGAGUGAAGAAGGCCUUCGGGUUGUAAAGCUCUUUCGGCCGGGAAGAAAUCGCAUGGGUUAAUACCCUGUGCGGAUGACGGUACCGGCAUAAGAAGCGCCGGCUAACUACGUGCCAGCCGCCGCCGUAAUAC
rnacentral:rRNA from 1 species